GAUGAACGCUGGCGGCGUGCCUAAUACAUGCAAGUCGAACGAGGUGCUUUUGUAGCAAUACGAGAGUAUCCUAGUGGCGAACGGGUGAGUAACGCGUUGGUGACCUGCCCCAAAGUGUGGGAUAACAGUCCGAAAGGAUUGCUAAUACCGCAUGUGGUCAUUGGAUUUAGAAACCGAUGACUAAAGAAGCAAUUCGCUUUGGGAGGGACCUGCGUCCCAUCAGCUAGUUGAUGAGGUAACGGCUCACCAAGGCGACGACGGGUAGGGGACCUGAGAGGGUGGCCCCCCACAAUGGAACUGAAACACGGUCCAUACACCGACGGGUGGCAGCAGUAGGGAAUAUUGCUCAAUGGGCGAAAGCCUGAAGCAGCAACGCCGCGUGCGCGAUGAAGGUCUUCGGAUCGUAAAGCGCUUUUCUGCGAGAUGAGAAAGGACAGUAUCGUAGGAAUAAGUCUCGGCUAACUACGUGCCAGCCGCCGCAGUAAAAC
rnacentral:rRNA from 1 species